rnacentral:lncRNA from 1 species
CUUAUCAAAGUUUCCCUGUUUUCUAUUCUGCUCAUAUAAAGGCCUCUCCCAACUUAAUGAUGCCAUAAAUCAUUAGAGAAAAGCACGCCCUGCCUGGAUUAUUAUAAUGUGGCAUAUUUCCCAGUAUUGUGGAGAAAGGCAGAGAUUGGGGGCCUUUAUCACUUAUGCCGUUGCCCCUUGCCUUUGCAAAUGUUGUUCCCUCAACCUGUAAUGUUAUAAUUCAGGGUUCUUGGCAGAGACUCAGUGUGAAAAAACCUGGAAAAAGAACGGGAGCGGAGUUAUUGGCUCAAAUAAAUUGAACAAAGCAGAGAAGAAACCAGGCCUUGAAUAGAGCAAAGACUCUCCCCAGCUGCCUCUGAUCUCUGCUUUUGUCUGCUUGUUGGCUGUGUUCUUUCUUCUGCAGCCCCGCUUCUUCCACGUGGCCUAUAGUUUAUUGUCCAACGUUUUCCUUGCUUCACCACCAGAGAGCUAAAGAAUUUAUUCGUUUCCUUCUAAUUUAGGAAAUCAUGAAGAAUGAUGUUGACUGGCCCAUCUUAAAUCGCUUGCCACCUGGACCAAUCACUAUGGCCCCCAGAGCAGAACCAUUUGAGAAGAGGCAGCUCCCUGGUGGAGCAUCCCAUGUGAGAGUGGGGAGAAGGACCACGCUCUACAGGAGGGAGGGUGCAGCGCUCAUCAGAAGCAAGGGAGAGGAAUGAAGAGGAGAAGGGGGAGAGAAAUGAAGCUUCUGUGUGUUUUCUUCCAUCUGAACACUGCCAAUGUGUAUCUCCAUGUGAUUUUAUUGAAAUUUUGAGCUUCAUGAUCCUGCCACCAGUGAAACUUUGUUAGCCUUGCUUGCUGUCUGUGGGUGGACUAGGCUUGUAUAAUUAUAACAGAUUAAAAAAGGGAGUUCUGAAUUUCACUUGCCAAGGUUUUGUUUGAUAAAUUAAUACACAAAUAAGACAUUUUUUACAUUUUACUUCUACUAAUACCUAUAGCAAGAUGAUAUCAGUGAAUAUUUUAUAAAAUUUUAGAGUGUUAGAGCUAUGUGGAACUUCAGAAAUCCUCUGAAUCUACUUUAUUUUUUAAAGAUGAGAAAGAUGCUGAGGCUGGUGACACACAAGAGUUAGUUGAAGAAGUAGGCA